rnacentral:lncRNA from 1 species
UUUUCCGCAGAAGGAGAUGAAAGAAAGGCUUCGACAUCGCAUUAGGAAAGGAAUUCGAUGAUUCUGAAGCCUUGGCAUAAUAAUAAGAUAGGGUAGGCUGAACAAUCCGAGCAUGCAACAUCAGAUAGAUAGGCCGACUGAAAUCGGCUUUUAAGGCUAUGCUACUUUGCUACCAGCAGGACUGCUGCUAUGACUACAUGCGCAUCUAGUGCAGUGGCUUGGAAGCAAGCUACCUUGACCAUCUU